AAGUCGUAACAAGGUUUCCGUAGGUGAACCUGCGGAAGGAUCAUUAUCACGUAUCCACGUAUAAACCAUUGUGAACCGUCUUUAACCUCCGCGAAACUGGCCCAUCAUGUAUGUGAGAAAGCCAGCGUAGCGGAGCGUAUUUACCUAUUAACCAUUUUAACCAAUCUUUAUAACUUUCUGAACUAACUUUAUUUUAUACUCUUCGGAGAUAAAAUUCAUUACGAAACAAAGAACAACUCUUAGCAACGGAUAUCUUGGUUCUC
rnacentral:misc_RNA from 1 species